rnacentral:rRNA from 1 species
UACGUAGGUGGCAAGCGUUGUCCGGAUUUACUGGGCGUAAAGGAUGCGUAGGCGGAUAUUUAAGUCAGAUGUGAAAUACCCGAGCUUAACUUGGGUGCUGCAUUUGAAACUGGGUGUCUAGAGUGCAGGAGAGGUAAGUGGAAUUCCUAGUGUAGCGGUGAAAUGCGUAGAGAUUAGGAAGAACACCAGUGGCGAAGGCGACUUACUGGACUGUAACUGACGCUGAGGCAUGAAGCGUGGGGAGCAAACAGG